GGGUGAUUAGCUCAGCUGGGAGAGCACCUCCCUAACAAGGAGGGGGUCGGCGGUUCGAUCCCGUCAUCACCCACCA
rnacentral:tRNA from 2 species